rnacentral:rRNA from 1 species
UCAGAGCUUGCUCUGAUGAAAGUGGCGCACGGGUGAGUAAYSCGUGGAUAACCUGCCCUGGUAUCUGGGAUAAMAUCUCGAAAGGGGUGCUAAUACCGGAUAAGCCCACGGGUUCUUCGGAAUCUGCGGGAAAAGAAGGCCUCUAUUUAUAAGCUUCCGUAUCAUGAUGGGUCCGCGUACCMUUASCUAGUUGGUGGGGKAAUGGCCUACCAAGGCGACGAUGGUUAGCUGGUCUGAGAGGAUGAUCAGCUACACUGGAACUGAKACACGGUCCASACUCCUACGGGAGGCAGCAGUGGGGAAUUUUGCGCAAUGGGGGAAACCCUGACSCAGCAACGCCGCGUGAGUGAUGAAGGCUUUCGGGUCGUAAAGCUYUGUCAGAGGGGAAGAAAUGAAACSUGCUAAUAUCACGUUUUCUUGACGGUACCCUCAAAGGAAGCACCGGCUAACUCCGUGCCAGCAGCCGCGGUAAUAC